UACGUAGGCAGCGAGCGUUGUUCGGAAUUACUGGGCGUAAAGAGUGUGUAGGCGGUGCUCCCAGUCUGUUGUGAAAUCUCCCGGCUUAACUGGGAGGGUGCAGCGGAAACUAGAGUGCUAGAGGGUGGGAGAGGUAAGCGGAAUUCCUGGUGUAGCGGUGAAAUGCGUAGAUAUCAGGAGGAACACCUGUGGCGAAAGCGGCUCACUGGACCACAACUGACGCUGAUGCACGAAAGCUAGGGGAGCAAACAGG
rnacentral:rRNA from 1 species